UGGGGGUAGAUUGAGGGAGAAAGACAAUUUGAACACGGCGGCUUUGCUGUUUAUUUCACUUCUAAUUAUACAAUUCACGAAUCACUCAACUAAUAAUUGAUCAGUUGAUCAGCAGACACCGAGAGAGAGAGAGAGAGAAUGGAGACGUUAAUGGAGGAAGAUAAGUACAAUUGGAGAGAAGUGAAGCUACCGUCGCUAAUACCGGUGGUGGCGGAGCCGGAACUGGAGAGAGAAACCGGCGAGAGACGUCGCGGUCGCGACAUCCUCAUCGCCGUCGAUCAUGGCCCCAACAGCAAGCACGCCUUCGAUUGGGCCCUCGUCCACCUCUGCCGCCUCGCUGACACCGUUCAUCUCGUUCACGCUGUAUCCAGUUUGAAGAACAACAUUGUGUACGAGGCCACUCAGGCCCUUAUGGAGAAGCUUGCUGUGGAGGCUUUUGAGAUCGCCAUGGUGAAGACAUUGGCUCGUGUUGUUGAAGGAGAUGCAGGAAAGGCAAUUUGCAAGGAAUCAGAAAGGAUAAAACCUGCUGCUGUUGUAAUGGGUACCAGAGGCCGAACCUUAAUCCAAAGGGAAGUGUGAGCGAGUAUUGUUUCCACAACUGUAAAACAGCAUCCAUUAUUAUUGUUCCAGGCAAAGAAGCUGGAGAGGAAUCUGUAAUUUAGUUGACUUGAAAGAAGACAUGAAACAGAUUCGACAUCUAUUUGAAACCUUGUUUCAUUGUGAGUAUUCGCAGCUGUUGUGAUGAAGACAAGUUUGCUUCUAUUUUAUGUGAAUCAAUGGUUGUAGUUUUGUUACUCGUAGACAAGAAUUAUGUAUAUUCUUUAUUAAAAGAUGUAUGAUUGGUGAGUGUAAACUGUGUAAUUGUUUGAAAGGCAUUGAAGUAGAACUCAUUGUCUGGCUUCUUAUUAAAUCUGAGCCAUCUAAAUAUCCACAAGUAACAAAUGUGUAAAUUUGAUUCA